rnacentral:rRNA from 1 species
UGACCAACCUGCCCCUAACUCUGGGAUAACCCCGGGAAACCGGAGCUAAUACCGGAUACGAGACCGAGUGGCAUCACACGGUCUGGAAAGUUUUUCGGUUAGGGAUGGGGUCGCGGCCUAUCAGCUAGUUGGUGUGGGUAACGGCCCACCAAGGCGACGACGGGUAGCCGGCCUGAGAGGGUGACCGGCCACACUGGGACUGAGACACGGCCCAGACUCCGUACGGGGAGGCA